GAAAACAUGAUGACGAAGAAGAGUAUCUUUAAAGUUUUUUUAGAGAGAUGGUGUUUGGUGCAAACCAUUAAAGCUUUUGAGGGAAGGGAACUUCUGAAUGUUUAAUUUUUAAGUAGGGCUUAUGCCAAGAAGGGUGGAACCGCGGAAUAAUUUCGUCCCUUUG
rnacentral:ncRNA from 1 species